UAUGGUAAUUGUGUGCCAGCCUCUUCUUUACUACGUAGGGGGCAAGCGUUAUCCGGAUUUACUGGGUGUAAAGGGAGCGUAGACGGCACGGCAAGCCAGAUGUGAAAGCCCGGGGCUCAACCCCGGGACUGCAUUUGGAACUGCUGAGCUAGAGUGUCGGAGAGGCAAGUGGAAUUCCUAGUGUAGCGGUGAAAUGCGUAGAUAUUAGGAGGAACACCAGUGGCGAAGGCGGCUUGCUGGACGAUGACUGACGUUGAGGCUCGAAAGCGUGGGGAGCAAACAGG
rnacentral:rRNA from 1 species